UCAAUCCUUCUCACGUAAGUUUCUUCAAAUCGCCAUCUCUCUUCUUUCCCAUUUUUAUUUCAUCUUCCAUACACGCGCAUUAUUCACAUUCAUCUUCCACCGCUUUCUCUCUCAUCUUAAUUCUCUAUGUUCUCUCAAUUGACCUCAUUCUGCUUUCAUCGUUCAAUAGGAAACCCUAGCAUUACACACUACACAUCAGAUCCUCUUCGUUCAUCCUAUUGAAACUGACCGAUAAUUCUUUUGGGUCGACAAUUCCCUAUCUUCAAGAUUUGGAAUCAAGUGAUGGAGUCGCAGAUUAUUGACAGCUAGGAUUGCUUCUGCUACGUUGACUAUCGUAAUUUCCACUUAGCGUCGUUACACAAACAACAACAACAAGCCCUAAGGACGUUUUACUCUGAAGAUGAAUAUGUUGAAAUUGUCGUGCCCUGAGAAAGCAUGUAAGUUUUUACUCUCUUCGCUUCAUCCUAUAUUCCUAUUACAGUUUACAAAAUCAUGAGAUAUCUAAUACAGUUUCCACUCUCUUCGCUACAUCCUAUUGUUCAAUUCUGAACAUGAUGAAAUCCCCAAAAUCAUGAGAAAGCAUGUAGGAGAAAUCUGGAAUGCGUGCUUUCACCUCACCUGCAUACUCCAUCAAUUCAAGCAUGUCAACAACCACAAGCAGGGUUUCCUUAA